UCCGAUUUGUCAUCGGCAGUCACCUUAGGGUGCCCAACUGAAUGAUGGCAACUAAAGGCAAGGGUUGCGCUCGUUGCGGGACUUAACCCAACAUCUCACGACACGAGCUGACGACAGCCAUGCAGCACCUGAACCGGAGGUCCCCGAAGGGAAGACCCUAUUUCUAGGGCUGUCCUCCGUUGUCUAGCCCGGGUAAGGUUCUUCGCGUUGCGUCGAAUUAAGCCACAUGCUCCACCGCUUGUGCGGGCCCCCGUCAAUUCCUUUGAGUUUCAACCUUGCGGUCGUACUCCCCAGGCGGGGUACUUCCUGCGUUAGCGCCGGCACCCAGAGGGUCGCUCCCCCAGGCACCUAGUACCCAUCGUUUACGGCGUGGACUAC
rnacentral:misc_RNA from 1 species